rnacentral:rRNA from 1 species
ACACAUGCAAGUCGAGGGGCAGCAUCAUCAAAGCUUGCUUUGAUGGAUGGCGACCGGCGCACGGGUGAGUAACACGUAUCCAACCUGCCGACAACACUGGGAUAGCCUUUCGAAAGAAAGAUUAAUACCGGAUGGCAUAGUUUUCCCGCAUGGGAUAAUUAUUAAAGAAUUUCGGUUGUCGAUGGGGAUGCGUUCCAUUAGGCAGUUGGCGGGGUAACGGCCCACCAAACCUACGAUGGAUAGGGGUUCUGAGAGGAAGGUCCCCCACAUUGGAACUGAGACACGGUCCAAACUCCUACGGGAGGCAGCAGUGAGGAAUAUUGGUCAAUGGACGAGAGUCUGAACCAGCCAAGUAGCGUGAAGGAUGACUGCCCUAUGGGUUGUAAACUUCUUUUAUACGGGAAUAAAGUGAGCCACGUGUGGCUUUUUGUAUGUACCGUAUGAAUAAGGAUCGGCUAACUCCGUGCCAGCAGCCGCGGUAAUACGGAGGAUUCGAGCGUUAUCCGGAUUUAUUGGGUUUAAAGGGAGCGUAGGCGGGUUGUUAAGUCAGUUGUGAAAGUUUGCGGCUCAACCGUAAAAUUGCAGUUGAUACUGGCGACCUUGAGUGCAACAGAGGUAGG